GACGGAGGCUGCAAGUGUUGUCCGGACUCACUGGGCGUAAAGCGUCUGUAGGUGGUUUAAAAAGUCUGCUGUUAAAAGUUGAAGCUUAACUUCAAAGAUGCAGUAGAAACUUUUAAACUUGAGGAUGGUAGGGGUAGAGGGAAUUUCCAGUGGAGCGGUGAAAUGCGUAGAUCUUGGAAAGACCACCAAUGGCGAAGGCACUCUACUGGGCCAUUACUGACACUGAGGGACGAAAGCUAGGGGAGCAAAUGGG
rnacentral:rRNA from 1 species